rnacentral:rRNA from 1 species
CGUAGGGGCGAAGCGUUAUCCGGAUUUACUGGGUGUAAAGGGAGCGUAGACGGACGGGCAAGUCUGAUGUGAAAAGCCCCGGGGCCGUUAACCCCGGGACCGUGCAUUGGAAACUGUCCAUCUUGAGUGCCGGAGAGGUAAGCGGAAUUCCUAGUGUAGCGGUGAAAUGCGUAGAUAUUAGGAGGAACACCAGUGGCGAAGGCGGCUUACUGGACGGUAACUGACGUUGAGGCUCGAAAGCGUGGGGAGCAAACAGGAUU